rnacentral:rRNA from 1 species
CACGAACGCUGGCGGCAGGCUUAACACAUGCAAGUCGAGCGCCCCGCAAGGGGAGAGGCAGACGGGUGAGUAACGCGUGGGAGUCUACCCGUCUCUACGGAAUAACGCAUGGAAACGUGUGCUAAUACCGUAUACGUCCUUCGGGAGAAAGAUUUAUCGGAGAUGGAUGAGCCCGCGUUGGAUUAGCUAGUUGGUGGGGUAAAGGCCUACCAAGGCGACGAUCCAUAGCUGGUCUGAGAGGAUGAUCAGCCACACUGGGACUGAGACACGGCCCAGACUCCUACGGGAGGCAGCAGUGGGGAAUAUUGGACAAUGGGCGCAAGCCUGAUCCAGCCAUGCCGCGUGAGUGAUGAAGGCCCUAGGGUUGUAAAGCUCUUUCACCGGUGAAGAUAAUGACGGUAACCGGAGAAGAAGCCCCGGCUAACUUCGUGCCAGCCGCCGCCGUAACAC